GGCCCGUGUGGGUAUUUUCUUUUUUUUGUUUAUUACAUCAAUUAAUGGAGGUGGACAAACAACCACCUCCGUUAAUCCUCAUUUACUGUGACCUUAUGUCUGAGGCGGUUCUCCGUGUCCGCCUUCGAAAAUAAAAAACAACCGUCUCAGUAAAGUUUUAUGUAGUUGUGAGUACAAAAGUUCCCUUAAAUAUAAGAGAGUAUAUUUCAUUAUUUUUUUACUCCCUCUAUCUCAAAUUAUAAGUUAUUCCAAGAAUCUUAGAGAGUUAAAGCAUUUCAAGUCUG
rnacentral:lncRNA from 1 species